GCUCCGAAAAUUCAUGAAAAAUUCCAGAAAUUUUUUAGGGCAUAGAGAAUAUUACAGAAAUAUCCCCAACCAUGAUUUUUUAAAGGAAAUUUUAAUUCCCACAUUU
rnacentral:snRNA from 2 species